CGACGAUUAAGCNNNUUCGGGUGUGUAUAGAGUGGCGAACGGGUGAGUAACACGUGACCAACCUGCCUCUUACAUUGGGACAACCAAAAGAAAUUCUGGCUAAUACCAAAUACUCCGCACAUAUCACAUGAUGUAUGCGGGAAAGCUUUUGCGGUAAGAGAUGGGGUCGCGGCCCAUUAGGUAGACGGCGGGGUAGAAGCCCACCGUGCCGAUGAUGGGUAGCCGGGUUGAGAGACCGACCGGCCACAUUGGGACUGAGAUACGGCCCAGACUCCUACGGGAGGCAGCAGUGGGGAAUAUUGCGCAAUGGGGGAAACCCUGACGCAGCAACGCCGCGUGCGGGAUGAAGGCCUUCGGGUUGUAAACCGCUUUCAGCAGGGAAGACAUCGACGGUACCUGCAGAAGAAGCCCCGGCUAACUACGUGCCAGCAGCCGCGGUAAUACGUAGGGGGCGAGCGUUAUCCGGAUUCAUUGGGCGUAAAGCGCGCGCAGGCGGUUGCUCAAGCGGAACCUCUAAUCUCGGGGCUUAACCUCGAGCCGGGUUCCGAACUGGACGACUCGAGUGCGGUAGAGGCAGAUGGAAUUCCCGGUGUAGCGGUGGAAUGCGCAGAUAUCGGGAAGAACACCAACGGCGAAGGCAGUCUGCUGGGCCGUCACUGACGCUGAGGCGCGAAAGCUGGGGGAGNNNACAGGAUUAGAUACCCUGGUAGUC
rnacentral:rRNA from 1 species